rnacentral:rRNA from 1 species
AUUGAACGCUGGCGGCGUGCCUAACACAUGCAAGUCGAGCGGCAGCGCGGGAGCAAUCCUGGCGGCGAGCGGCGGACGGGUGAGUAACGCUUGGGAAUCUGCCUGUUAGUGGGGGACAACCCGGGGAAACUCGGGCUAAUACCGCAUACGCACUACGGUGGAAAGCCGGGGACCGCAAGGCCUGGCGCUAACAGAUGAGCCCAAGUCGGAUUAGCUAGUUGGUAGGGUAACGGCCUACCAAGGCGACGAUCCGUAACUGGUCUGAGAGGACGACCAGUCACACCGGAACUGAGACACGGUCCGGACUCCUACGGGAGGCAGCAGUGGGGAAUAUUGGACAAUGGGGGAAACCCUGAUCCAGCGACGCCGCGUGGGUGAAGAAGGCCUGCGGGUUGUAAAGCCCUUUCAGUGGGGAAGAAAAGCCUCGACCUAAUACGUUGGGGUCUUGACGUAACCCAUAGAAGAAGCACCGGCUAACUCUGUGCCAGCAGCCGCCGUAAC